rnacentral:siRNA from 1 species
AUUGGAUGGUUUCUCUGUGAC